rnacentral:rRNA from 1 species
AGUGAGGAAUAUUGCCCAAUGGGGGAAACCUGAGGCAGCAACGCCGCGUGAACGAUGACGGCCUUCGGGUUGUAAAGUUCUUUCUGGGGGACGAUACUGACGGUACCCAGGAAUAAGUUCCGGCUAACUACGUGCCAGCAGCCGCGGUAAAACGUAGGGGACAAGCGUUAUCCGGAUUUACUGGGCGUAAAGCGCACGUAGGCGGUAGGGUAAGUUGGCCGUGAAAGCUCCUGGCUUAACUGGGAGAGGUCGGACAAAACUGUCCUGCUUGAGGCUGAGAGAGGAGAGCGGAAUUCCCGGUGUAGUGGUGGAAUGCGUAGAUAUCGGGAGGAACACCAGUGGCGGAGGCGGCUCUCUGGCUCAGAUCUGACGCUGAGGUGCGAAAGCGUGGGGAGCGAACGGGAUUAGAUACCCCGGUAGUCCACGCUGUAAACGAUGGAUACCAGGUGUAGGGGGUUAUUAACCCCCCCUGUGCCGCAGCUAACGCGCUAAGUAUCCCGCCUGGGGACUACGGCCGCAAGGUUA